CAAUAGCGUAUAUUAAAGUUGUUGCGGUAAAAAAGCUCGUAGUUGGAUUUCUACCGAAGAUAGCCGGUCGGGUCUUCGACCUUGUAUCUGGUUUUGUCUUUGGUAUCCUCAUAGGGAACGUUUCUGCGCUUUAUUGCGUGGUGCGGUAUCUAUGACUUUUACUUUGAGGAAAUUAGAGUGUUCACGGCAGGCAAACGCCUUGAAUAUAUUAGCAUGGAAUAAUAACAUAGGAUCUUCGUCCUAUUCUGUUGGUUUCUAGGGCUAAGAUAAUGAUUAAUAGGGAUAAUUGGGGGCAUCUGUAUCAACGCGUCAGAGGUGGAAUUCUUGGAUUGCGUUGCGACAAACUACUGCGAAAGCAUUUGCCAAGGAUGUUUUCAUUGA
rnacentral:rRNA from 1 species